UGAAAUACCUAGUGGCGAACGGGUGAGUAACACGUGAGGAACCUGCCCCGAAGACCGGGAUAACUCUCCGAAAGGAGUGCUAAUACCGGAUACCCCCACCUAAUCGCAUGAUCUGGUGAGGAAAUGGAUUCCGCUUCGGGAGGGCCUCGCGGCCUAUCAGCUUGUUGGUGAGGUAACGGCUCACCAAGGCAUCGACGGGUAGCUGGUCUGAGAGGACGAUCAGCCACACUGGGACUGAGACACGGCCCAGACUCCUACGGGAGGCAGCAGUGGGGAAUCUUGCGCAAUGGGCGAAAGCCUGACGCAGCAACGCCGCGUGGGGGAUGAAGGCUCUCGGGUUGUAAACCCCUUUCAGCAGGAACGAAUCAAGACGGUACCUGCAGAAGAAGCCCCGGCUAACUACGUGCCAGCAGCCGCGGUAACACGUAGGGGGCAAGCGUUGUCCGGAUUUAUUGGGCGUAAAGAGCUCGUAGGCGGCUAAGUAAGUCGGAUGUUAAAUCCCCAGGCUCAACCUGGGACACCACCCGAUACUGCUUUGGCUAGAGUCCGGUAGGGGAGCGUGGAAUCCCUGGUGUAGCGGUGAAAUGCGCAGAUAUCAGGAGGAACACCAGCGGCGAAGGCGGCGCUCUGGGCCGGAACUGACGCUGAGGAGCGAAAGCGUGGGUAGCAAACAGGAUUAGAUACCCUGGUAGUCCACGCCGUAAACGUUGGGCACUAAGUAGAGGGGUU
rnacentral:rRNA from 1 species